AACCCGCAGUUCUUUGUAAGGUGAUUUUUUUGGCUCUCCUUUAGUUCGUUCUCUCCGUCGCCUCCCGAUCCCAGCCGUCAAGAGGCGCGAUCCCGCGCCGUGCUCGAUACGGUGCCGCGCCGGCCGCCGGCCGACGACGGCGAUUGCAGCGCCCUUCGCCACCGUUUCGCUUCAACUCCUCUCCUCCGCGUGCCUGAGCUCCUUGCUGUGCGCCGCCCGGGAGGGCUCGCACUCGAUGCAGAACAUCGGCGGACGGAACUUGCAGGACCCAGAUCCGUGCGUGGCGAUGGGGAGGUCGCCGGUGACGCGUAGGAAGGCCGGAGUGCGGCUUCCCGGGCGGAUCCAUGGCGGCCCCUGGGCAGAAAGGAGAUAUGAGGUGAGGGAGAAAGAACGGACGGUGCGACGAUCUCGGCAGGAACUCGCAGGAGCCAGGCGACGGUAGACAGGCGCGGGAGACAGAGGGAUCCGGCGCGGCGGCGCGAAGUCCUUGCAGGUGGAUGCAUGUUGGGUUCCUCCGGCUGUCACCGACGUGCACUGACAGGUGAGGAACAUAGAAACAUGGAUUGAAUCCGUUGUCGGUAAAGAAAAUGUUGGCUCGGAUGUUAUGGGCACAACCGGUGAGAUGGUUGUUGUGUGGAUAGAGAAUCAGCUCCAUGAAAACAAAACAAAGGAGCUGAUAUUGCAAUAGGUUAACCAGCUGCGUGAGCAUCUACGGAGCCCGAACAGGGAGUCAACAGUCAGCUGCUAUCAGAUCUCGAAAAUGCGGGUUCUUUUAAGACCACCAUGGAUCCCUCACCCCAAGUCAUGAUCCAGUUGCUGAAUGUCCACAAGAAAAUUUAUGUAUUAAAGGGACCUCAUUCCCCAAGCUACUGGACGAAAAAUAAAAUGUAUGCAUGCGCCAAUGAAGUCCAACAAUUAAUCCUCAUGUGUGUCCAAAUAUUUUGUCUGAGAAGUCCGAAUGUUCAGUGUUGGAAAAGUAUACCUCCCGCUGAUAGAACAAGGGAAAGAUCGUUUCGUUGAUGGCGAGUUCACACUGAUGCUGAUCACCGGCGCGCGUUGGCAGUGUCAUGCUGCUUGGUCGGCACUGCAACUACACAGCUAAGCAGGAGAUGAUAGCGUCUCAAACUGGACUUUUUGAUCAUUUGAUAAACGUUUUGAAAUUCAAGCGUGGUCCUCUUAUGCAACCUGUGACCUAUUACUUCUUAAUUUAUGGACUUUAAGUUUCAGUCAUCCCUAUAUCAUCAGGUAAUAUAACAAGGCUGUUGUUUAGAUCAUAUAAUCAAGCAUGUCUUAUCGAAAUUAGUGAUUGCCAUGUUUGUUGAAUUAAAGUUUCACUUGUCAGAUCAGUUUCCACACAUUGAAUUUUACUUAGGGUACCUCUUAAGGUUUUACCUUCUGCAAAGGUAUAACACCUACAGAUGAUCCGAUUUUUCUUCUUCUAGAUCCCCAUGUGUGUGUGUAUAUGCGCGUGGGUAACUAAUUUGCCCCGUGUAUAGGUAGACAACGAUCAAUAUGAGAGGGUGCUCAGCUACAUAUUGAUCCUUGUCAAUUCAGUACAAAUUUACUGAAUUUACAGAUGGAGCUAUAUGUCCUCGGUGAUGUACAAGCAAACACUAAAUUGUUGCAGUGUACAAUGUCCCUGAGUAAUUCCUGGCGCUACAAGUUUUAAAAUAAAAAGAUGACGGGUCUCUACCAUAUUCAGCCUCCGCUUUAGAAUUUGAUUUGAACUAUAGGACAACCGAUUGCAUUUGGUAAUUUAUGCACUAAUUCUCGGUCCUUUGUGUGAGCUAUGUUUUCCUUGCGCUUUUGCUUCUUAUUUACAUAUUGGUAUGGUGUCAGGUUUACUUGCCUACAAGUUUGGUUCCACUUGGUAUGGACACCGUGCUCUGCUGUCAGCAUAUCUGUAGUAUCAGGAUAUUGUUACGACCUUGAAUGCUGAAUUUAAGGAUGUCUUAUCAUGUAUUACUUUGACUCCCUUCUGAAUUAUGAGGUCAUCCCAUAGUCGUCCACUAAUCUGGUGUCUGGUCCAUCUUCUUACCCUUAUCAUCCUCUGUCCAAUCUUGCCCUGACUGUACAGAUUGUCGAAUACUUCAAACAAUGAGCAAUUUGAAGUUCAUAAAUAUGACAAAUAUCUGAAAAUGGAUUCAUUUUUGUUGAAAUAACAUUGUGUAGAGUGGAAAUGCAGAACUAUAUGUUCCUAUUUCAACAACUGGUAUUGAAUAUAUGGUCAACCUUCUUAGAAAAAACUACAAAGUCUAAACAUUAUCGUGUGAUGCAUAUGGAAAAUUGUGAUGUCUAUUUUUCUGAAAUAUUUUUACUUUAGAAAAAGUUUUAAACAUGCCAUUGCAUUAUGUUUCAUAUUUUUGGCCAAGACGCUCUGCGGGGCGAUGGCACAUGGUCGGCAAGGCAGCGUUCUACAGCGCACCAGCCCGCAACGGAGGCGGCGCCCACGGCGCAGCCGUGGCCUUCGGUGCGCACCGCGGGGGUAGUGCUACCGGCCGCUGGCACGGCCCCGGAGCUGCUUCCCCAGACGGUGGUGCCCAUGGCUGUGGGCCCAUUGGCCCCCGGCCGGGUUCCCUGCGGAGGCGCGCGGGUGGCGGCCUCUGACUUGAAGUCUUCUUGAGAUUUGUACGCCGAUUGCUUGGCCGUCGCUUUGUACUGUCACUACGUGUACUGAAGAUUAGUUAUUUUGCUUUGACUUGGAGUGAGGUGCAGCGGGUUCAGGUUGCUGCUGCUGAUUUUUUUGUAUGUGAUGUUCUAAUGAUUGUGUGUCUGACCAAGCGUAGUUGCGCUUCUGACAAUGUAUUGGCCUUCCUUUGCUGCACCGAAGUUAGUGAAUUGUUCACCAUGCUUGACUUUGUUCUAAGCAGGGAAAUUUGUGGUGAUUUGUAAUCAAACUUGCAAAGAACAUCAUUACUUCUGAUUAUGUUUGAAGAGAUAUGAUGGAUGGUUGAUCUGA